AGAGUGGUUCCGUGGCUGUGAGCAUUUUUCCAAUUGAAUUAAGUGUCAUUUCAUAUAUCCUGAAGAUAGAAAAAAACUGUGUUAGCCACCAAAGGUCCCUCUGCCCUUUUUAACAAGGAGAAAAUGGAAGUCCAAAAUACAGAGCAGAUCCUGGUGUUGAAGCAGGUCUCUUGGAAUAGAACUGAGACCGUUUCCUGUGUAUUAUACAGUUGGAAAGGACAAAACACUGAAGACAGGAAGAGUGAAGUACCAAUUUCUGCUAUUGAAGUGGGGACAGAGCCCAGCUGACAGUGUAAAGGAGUCAGAGAAGGGAGUCUCUGGGAAUUCUAUACCAUCAGGACUGUUGUGACCCGAGUGAGAGAGGGUUUGUAGACUUGCGCCUUGGUGGUGAUAACAGCAUUCGGGGAUUUCUGAUGGAAUACGGCUGCUGGCAAAUGCAUCUCGAGCUGAAAUGAUUGGAUGGGAAGUUAAGAAAUUCUACAAAACAGAGGCCAAGUUGGACUGUGAGAUUGUUUGUGGUCCUACAUUUGUGCAGGCUUGUAAUUAUGUGAUUAUCAUUGUUGUAUCGAUUAUUUAAAGUGAAAUUUAGCUCUUUGAAUUAUCUGCUGCUGCUUGUAGCUACUCCUACCAGAAGAUCUGCUGUCAGGGUAUAUUCUUCAGCUGUUAAUUAAUGUUUGAUUUACAGUGAUUUUAGU